rnacentral:misc_RNA from 1 species
GAAAUGCGAUAAGAAAUGUGAAUUGCAGAAUUCAGUGAAUCAUCGAAUCUUUGAACGCACAUUGCGCCCGCCAGUAUUCUGGCGGGCAUGCCUGUUCGAGCGUCAUUACAACCCUCAGGCCCCCGGGCCUGGCGUUGGGGAUCGGCGGAAGCCCCCUGCGGGCACAACGCCGUCCCCCAAAUACAGUGGCGGUCCCGCCGCAGCUUCCAUUGCGUAGUAGCUAACACCUCGCAACUGGAGAGCGGCGCGGCCACGCCGUAAAACACCCAACUUCUGAAUGUUGACCUCGAAUCAGGUAGGAAUACCCGCUGAACUUAAGC